rnacentral:rRNA from 1 species
UACGGAGGGGCUAGCGUUGUUCGGAAUUACUGGGCGUAAAGCGCACGUAGGCGGCUUUGUAAGUUAGAGGUGAAAGCCCAGGGCUUAACCCUGGAAUUGCCUUUAAGACUGCAUCGCUAGAAUCGUGGAGAGGUGAGUGGAAUUCCGAGUGUAGAGGUGAAAUUCGUAGAUAUUCGGAAGAACACCAGUGGCGAAGGCGACUCACUGGACACGUAUUGACGCUGAGGUGGCGAAAGCG